AAAGGUGAGAUAUACAGGAGACAAUAGGUGAGAUAUACAGGAGACAAUAGGUGAGACAUACAGGAGGCAAAGGUGAGAUAUACAGGAGGCAAGGGUGAGAUAUACAGGAGGCAAAGGUGAGACAUACGGGAGACAAUAGGUGAGACAUACAGGAGGCAAAGGUGAGACAUACAGGAGGCAAAGGUGAGAUAUACAGGAGACAAUAGGUGAGAUAUACAGGAGACAAUAGGUGAGACAAUAGGUGAGACAUACAGGAGGCAAAGGUGAGAUAUACAGGAGGCAAAGGUGAGAUAUACAGGAAGCAAAGGUGAGACAUACAGGAGACAAUAGGUGAGACAAUAGGUGAGACACAGGAGACAAUAGGUGAGACAAUAGGUGAGACACAGGAGACAAUAGGUGAGACAAUAGGUGAGACACAGGAGACAAUAGGUGAGACAAUAGGUGAGACACAGGAGACAAUAGGUGAGACAAUAGGUGAGACAUACAGGAGACAAUAGGUGAGAUAUACAGGAAGCAAAGGUGAGACAUACAGGAGACAAUAGGUGAGACAAUAGGUGAGACACAGGAGACAAUAGGUGAGACAAUAGGUGAGACAUACAGGAGACAAUAGGUGAGACAUACAGGAGGCAAAGGUGAGAUAUACAGGAGGCAAAGGUGAGAUAUACAGGAGGCAAAGGUGAGAUAUACAGGAGACAAUAGGUGAGAUAUACAGGAGACAAUAGGUGAGACAAUAGGUGAGACAUACAGGAGGCAAA